rnacentral:rRNA from 1 species
CUACGUGCCAGCAGCCGCGGUAAUACGGAGGGUGCGAGCGUUAAUCGGAAUAACUGGGCGUAAAGGGCACGCAGGCGGCUAUUUAAGUGAGGUGUGAAAUCCCCGGGCUUAACCUGGGAAUUGCAUUUCAGACUGGGUAGCUAGAGUACUUUAGGGAGGGGUAGAAUUCCACGUGUAGCGGUGAAAUGCGUAGAGAUGUGGAGGAAUACCGAAGGCGAAGGCAGCCCCUUGGGAAUGUACUGACGCUCAUGUGCGAAAGCGUGGGGAGCAAACAGGAUUAGAUACCCUGGUAGUCCACGCUGUAAACGAUGUCGAUUUGGGGGUUGAGCUUUAAGUUUGGCGCCCGUAGCUAACGUGAUAAAUCGACCGCCUGGGGAGUACGGCCGCAAGGUUAAAACUCAAAUGAAUUGACGGGGGCCCGCACAAGCGGUGGAGCAUGUGGUUUAAUUCGAUGCAACGCGAAGAACCUUACCUACUCUUGACAUCCAGA